rnacentral:lncRNA from 1 species
CCGGGGAAAGAAGAAAAGGUUCCCGUCUUGGAAACACAGAACCUCAGCAGGAUGUGGGGCUUCUGCCUGAUCCUUCUCUGUGGGUUAACGAAUGGGAAUGCUCUGAGUCUGUAUCUGUGGAACUUGCUGAUUGUCAGGCGUCAUUGGAAGGAGCACAUGAGGAGAUGAAUUUUAGGCUUGUGGACCCUAACUGUAGGAACACAAAAUUGUUACAUUGAGAUGUCAGCACUGGAAUUAACCAUUAUCAGUCUUUAUUCUCCUUGAAGCCUUGAAGUUGACCAGCAAAGAGUUGUGAUAAUGAUGGUGGUGGUGGUGAUGAUGAUAAUGAUGAUAUAAUGACGAUGGAGGAGAACUAAAUGCUGAG